GUCGCGCUGCAGGAGCUGGGAGCUGGCAGCAACAUGGUGGAGUACAAACGGGCCACGCUUCGGGAUGAAGACGCACCCGAGACCCCCGUAGAGGGCGGGGCCUCCCCGGACGCCAUGGAGGUGGGAUUCCAGAAGGGGACAAGACAGCUGUUAGGCUCACGCACGCAGCUGGAGCUGGUCUUAGCAGGUGUCUCUCUACUGCUGGCUGCACUGCUUCUGGGCUGCCUUGUGGCCCUAGGGGUCCAGUACCACAGAGGUAGGUGGGCCCACACUCUUCAUCGGUAUUCAUAACUAGGGGUUCUGGAGGCCUAAGGGCCUCUAAGAUUUUCAUUUGUGAGGACCAAGCCUUCCCUGCAGAAAGCCCCCGGCUUUGCUUUCUCUUCCCAACCUUCCUGCUGUCAUGGCCCUUGCAAAGAGUUUGCCUCUUCCAGACAGACAGACUGACAGUCUCCCACCCUCUGGCUGUGUUCCCUACCACAGACCCAUCCCACAGCACCUGCCUUACAGAGGCCUGCAUUCGAGUGGCUGGAAAAAUCCUGGAGUCCCUGGACCGAGGGGUGAGCCCCUGUGAGG
rnacentral:sRNA from 1 species